rnacentral:lncRNA from 10 species
GUGGGAUGUUGUGCAAAGCCUUGGAAGUGUCUGACGCAGAAUGCAUGUUCAACAAGGGACGUCUGCCUGAGUCCAUGAUAUGUUCAGGUGUCCAAGAGUGAACAAGAGGCAGAAAGCAGUAUAAAUCGUGGCGAUGUCGCCCAGGAGGUAGGAUGACAGGCACGUACAAGGACACGUGGAAGUCAUGUUUUCACUGCUUAGGACAUGGAUGUUGGGAGCUAAAAGAAGACAAAGUUGGAGAGAGGUUGGAAGGCUGAUUGUGCAGGGCCUUGAUUCCAGCGUGCCACCCGUCACGACGACCUGCACACAGCCUGGCCUCCAGAUUCCUUGUUCCUCAAGGCCUCUAGACUGCCUCCUCCAGGAAGUCUUCCCCGGGUGCAACUUCCUCUUCCUCCAGGAGCUCAGCAUGGUGCUUUACACAUCGGUGUGCAGACUGUUUCCUCUAUCUGGAUCGAAAUGCCUUGAGAGCAGGGACUCCACCAUGUUCAUUCAUGUUUAACCCAGAGGUCCCAAGCUCUCCACACUCCUGGGUUAACCGCUUCUGGAACGUCAACUCACCUGACCCAAGCCCCCGCUGGUGCGAUGGAGAAAGGCAGGGCCCCAUUGCUUGUCCUCUCUCACAGGCCCCUUUCCUUCUCCUCGGACAGCUGCUCUGGGCAAGCUCGCGCCGGUGGGGCUGCCCUGUCCCUUGUCCCUAUCUGGCACAAUCUUUGAUGCUACCCAGCCCCACCAACAGUAAACCACACUGUCAAACAAAGCUUUAGGAAAGGUUGAGGGUAACAUGGGGUGUAUAACAACUUAGAAAACGAAAGCAUCAGAAAAGCCACUCCUCACGUCCUCCCACCUUCUCUCUGUCUGGGGUCUUCUUUUGGCCAUCAAUCUUCUUGAUUCUGGCUGGCAGCCGUGCUUCCGAGAUCUGCUCCAGCCAAACAAGUCUGCCUUAUAAACCCUCCCUCCCCUGGCGAUGCAGACGGCCACUCUCCCUGUAAUGGUGCUCCCCACCCUCUGUGAUGAUCACCGCCCCCCAGCACUCCCUGCCAAAGCAAAAAGCCCUUACUGGACAUUCUAAAUAUGAGCUGUAGUGCCACCAUUACAGUACAGGGACAGGCUGCACUUUAAAAAUGACACUUUCCCUAGCAUUUUGUCUUUUUUUUUAUCUUAUUAUUAAAUUCAAAGCACUCAACAAGGGUGUCUGGGCCAUGCUAAGUACACAGUAAUGUUGGUUAAUUGAAUUGAUGAACCUGAUUUCCUUCAUUAUUCAAUUUGGGUUGAGAUAAAACAGUAUUUGUAACUCAUUUAAUGAAAUAAUUGAGAGACAGUGGCUGCAUCAAAUAAUGGGAGGGUUUUACAUUUGCAUCCCCUGACUUUGGAUUCACUGAAGCUGGCCGAUUAGUCAUUCCUCAGUUGGCUAUAAAGAUGCAGUAGACACCGUUCAUGUCCUCAAAACCAAUAAACACGUUUGAUCAGAUUCAGAGUCGGGGCAGAUAGUGGGCACCAGGGAAACAGUUGGAAUUCCCUUUCACAUUUAGAGGAAGGCAACCCAACCACUGCUGGCAGGUGGGCUGGAUAGCAUUAGCCCAUGAGUUAGAAAACACAGCAGAGGUGAAAUCCAGACACAAGAAAAUAGAGUAAAACUUGAGUGAAAGAGAAUUCAGUGUCUGAGCCAGAAAGACAGCUGCAGGUGUGAGGCCAUGGGACAGUCACUGGGUUCCCAGAACACAGAUUUCUGGGACAGGCAGGGACUUAGAGCCUUACAAGAGCCCUGGAGCUGCCGGGCAGCAACCAAGGUGUUUUUCAUGGGGCAGCUAUGGCCUGCUGGCCAAGAAAGCUCAAGCACGUGUCAACCAGAAGUGAGAGCUCAUGGGUACCUACCUCGGAUUUGGCCUGAAAGCCCACACAGGCUGCCAAAGACUGGAAUAAAACCCAAAUGUCCACUGACAGGAGCAUGUGCGGAUAAAGUGUAAUUCACACACUCCAACAAUAAUGAUCAAACUGCAGCUGUGCAAACACGAGAGACUCACAAACAGUAUCCUGAGUGAGACAAUCAGGACAAAAGAAUACAUUUGUGUAAUUCCAUUCAUCCUAAAACAGGAAACACAGAGCCAUAUUUUUUAGGUUUGAAAUAUGUAGGUGGCAAACGUACAAAGAAAAGCAAAGGAAUUAUUAGGCUGAAUAACAAGACAAUGAAUUACUCUGGAUGGGAAGGAUGUCAUGCGAAUGGCAUCAUGGGGGCUUUUGCCGUGGUGCUAACACAGACGUUCCUUGAUUGUGUUGUAAUAACAUUGUAAGUAUUGUAACCCUAUUGAUUGUGGAGUUACAAUAAGUAAGUAACCCCAUUGAUUCUGUUGUAACCCCAUUGUAAGUGGAAAAUAUUGUAAGUUGAAACUGUAUGUAAUCCACCUAACCUACCAAACACCAUAGCCAGCUUACCCCAGCCUGUUUUAAACAUGCUCAGAAUACUUGCAUUAGCCUGCAGUUGAGCAAAACUAUCUACCACAAAGCCUAGUUUAUAAUAAAGUGUUGAGGGCGGGUGCAGUGGCUCACAGCUAUAAUCCCAGCACUUUGGGAGGUUGAGGGGGGCAGAUCUCUUGAGGUCAGGAGUUCGAGACCAGCCUGGCCAACAUGGCAAAACCCCAUCUCUACUAAAAAUACAAAAAUUAGCCAGGCAUCAUGGAGGGUGCCUGUAAACCCAGCUACUCAGGAGGCUGAGGAAGGAGGAUCGCAUGAACCCGGGAGGCAGAUGUUACAGUAAGCCAAGAUUGUGCCACUGCACUCCAGCCAGGGUGACAGAGUGAGACACUGUCUCAAAAAAACAAAAAUAAAAAAUAAAGUGUUGACUACCUCAUGUAAUUUGUUGAAUACUUCGGUGAAAGUGAAAAACAGAAUGGUUCCAUGGGUACUCGAAGCAUGGCUUCUGCUGAAUGCCUAUUGCUUUCACACCAUCAAAAAAUCAUAAGUCAAGCCAUUGUGAGUCAGAGACUGUCUCUAUUCUACUUUUUAAUCUGCCUGCUGGUUAUAAUUGACCGCAUAUGUUUUGUGCACUUUUCUUUUUCUAUGUUAUAUUUUAUAACGUGUUUUUAAGUGAAAAGAAGUCGUGCUAGUUGCAAUUCUGCAGCCAGUCCCUUUGAGGACUCUGCCUUGUUUUUCGUUUUUCCCCACACUGCUUUGUUUGCCAGCCAUCAAUGACAAUUUUGGCAGGCUCCUCGUAGGCGAAACCUGCAGGC